CGGGACAAAAAGAGCGCGCAUUCGCCCGGCGCGCGCGGCCCCGCCUUGUCUUGGCUGCGGCUCCACGUAAUGGCGGAGAUGAUUUUUUAAAUUUUUCUUAGCAUAGAGGGAGAUACUUCCGAAGGUAGCUCGUGAAACCUCCCGUCCCUCCAAGCACGAGCAGACUUAGCAACGUUUCAGAACUGAAGGGUUGCACUGGGUUCCUGUGUCUGAAGUUCUUCCUGCGGCUACAACCAAGCUACAGCUAAGGAGUAACAUAUUUCACGGGUUCCAGGAGACAAAAAGGUAUGCGCCCCAACUAUGGAGUAAACCUGAGGAGCCACAGCCCAGAGACUGCAAACUGUGUCAGAUGAACAAGAAGCAACUGGACAGCUGCUGAACUCAAGGAUUUGGAGGUCAGUUGACGGCCAUGGAGCCUAGCAUCUCAAAGGAGCAGAUUUUCAUUUUAUACCUGAGCAGCUGGCCUGGAAAAAUAAAUCACCCAUACAUUUAAAAGACUCUAUAAUAAUCACAAAAUAGUCCAAUACA